rnacentral:rRNA from 1 species
ACGGGUGAGUAAUACAUCGGAACGUGCCCUGUAGUGGGGGAUAACUAGUCGAAAGAUUAGCUAAUACCGCAUACGACCUGAGGGUGAAAGUGGGGGACCGCAAGGCCUCAUGCUAUAGGAGCGGCCGAUGUCUGAUUAGCUAGUUGGUGAGGUAAAGGCUCACCAAGGCGACGAUCAGUAGCUGGUCUGAGAGGACGAUCAGCCACACUGGGACUGAGACACGGCCCAGACUCCUACGGGAGGCAGCAGUGGGGAAUUUUGGACAAUGGGGGCAACCCUGAUCCAGCAAUGCCGCGUGUGUGAAGAAGGCCUUCGGGUUGUAAAGCACUUUUGUCCGGAAAGAAAUCGCACUUACUAAUAUUAGGUGUGGAUGACGGUACCGGAAGAAUAAGGACCGGCUAACUACGUGCCAGCAGCCGCGGUAAUACGUAGGGUCCAAGCGUUAAUCGGAAUUACUGGGCGUAAAGCGUGCGCAGGCGGUUGCGCAAGACCGAUGUGAAAUCCCCGGGCUUAACCUGGGAAUUGCAUUGGUGACUGCACGGCUAGAGUGUGUCAGAGGGGGGUAGAAUUCCACGU